rnacentral:rRNA from 1 species
GAUGAACGCUGGCGGCGUGCCUCAAACAUGCAAGUCGAGCGGGGCUAUGUAAUAUCGCAAGGUAGAACAUAGCCUAGCGGCGAACGGGUGAGUAACACGUGGGUAACCUGCCUGGAAGACAGGGAUAACGAUUCGAAAGGGUCGCUAAUACCUGAUAAUAUCCUUUCAUCGCAUGGUGAUAGGAAGAAAGGGGAAACCCGCUUUCAGAUGGGCCCGCGUCCCAUCAGCUAGUUGGUAAGGUAAAGGCUUACCAAGGCGACGACGGGUAGCCGGUCUGAGAGGAUGUACGGCCACACUGGGACUGAGAUACGGCCCAGACUCCUACGGGAGGCAGCAGUUGGGAAUCUUAGGCAAUGGACGAAAGUCUGACCUAGCGACGCCGCGUGAGGGAAGAAGGCCUUCGGGUUGUAAACCUCUGUCAUGGGGAAGAAGUAAGUGACGGUACCCAAGAGGAAGCCCCUGCUAACUACGUG